GGCGGCGUGCUUAACACAUGCAAGUCGAACGGUGAAACCAGAGCUUGCUCUGGUGGAUCAGUGGCGAACGGGUGAGUAACACGUGAGUAACCCACCCGGACUUCGGGAUAACCCCGGGAAACCGGAGCUAAUACCGAAUACGAGGCGUACAGGCAUCUGUAGCGUCUGGAAAGAUUUAUCGGUCCGGGACGGACUCACGGCCUAUCAGCUUGUUGGUGAGGUAAAAGGCUCACCAAGGCAACGACCGGGUAGCCGGCCUGAGAGGGUGACCGGCCACACUGGGACUGAGAUACGGCCCAGACUCCUACGGGAGGCAGCAGUGGGGAAUAUUGCACAAUGGGCGCAAGCCUGAUGCAAGCGACGCCGCGUGAGGGAUGACGGCCUUCGGGUUGUAAACCUCUUUCAGUAGGGAAGAAGCGAGAGUGACGGUACCUGCAGAAGAAGCACCGGCUAACUACGUGCCAGCAGCUGC
rnacentral:rRNA from 1 species